GACGAACGCUGGCGGCGUGCUUAACACAUGCAAGUCGAACGGAAAGGCCUGCUUUCCCUUGUGGAUUGCGGGUACUCGAGUGGCGAACGGGUGAGUAACACGUGAGUGAUCUGCCCCCAACUUGGGUAUAAGCCUGGGAAACUGGGUCUAAUUCCCGAUAGGACUGCAGGGUGGUGCCUGUGGUGGAACACGAUUUUCUAGUGGUUGGGGAUGAGCUCGCGGCCUAUCAGCUUGUUGGUGGGGUAAUGGCCUACCAAGGCGGCGACGGGUAGCCAGCCUGAGAGGGUGGACGGCCACAUUGGGACUGAGAUACGGCCCAGACGCCUACGGGAGGCAGCAGUGGGGAAUAUUGCACAAUGGGCGGAAGCCUGAUGCAGCGACGCCGCGUGGGGGAUGACGGCCUUCGGGUUGUAAACUCCUUUCGACCGCGAGGAAGCCACCUGGUUGGAAGGGUGGUGACGGUAGUGGUAGAAGAAGCACCGGCUAACUACGUG
rnacentral:rRNA from 1 species